UACGUAGGGGGCAAGCGUUGUCCGGAUUUAUUGGGCGUAAAGAGCGUGUAGGCGGCCAGAUAGGUCGGUUGUGAAAACUGGAGGCUCAACCUCCAGACGUCGACCGAAACCAUCUGGCUAGAGUCCGGAAGAGGAGAGUGGAAUUCCUGGUGUAGCGGUGAAAUGCGCAGAUAUCAGGAAGAACAUCCGUGGCGAAGGCGGCUCUCUGGGACGGUACUGACGCUGAGACGCGAAAGCGUGGGGAGCGAACAGG
rnacentral:rRNA from 1 species